rnacentral:rRNA from 1 species
UGGGGAAUUUUGCACAAUAGGGGAAACCCUGAUGCAGCGACGCCGCGUGAUUUAGAAGGCCUUCGGGUUGUAAAAAUCUUUUUUACGGGAUGAAAAUGACAGUACCGUAAGAAUAAGGUCCGGCUAAAUACGUGCCAGCAGCCGCGGUAAUACGUAUGGACCGAGCGUUGUCCGGAAUCAUUGGGCGUAAAGGGUACGUAGGCGGCCUAGUAAGUUAGAAGUUAAAGAAUAUAGCUCAACUAUAUAAAGCUUUUAAAACUGCUAGGCUUGAGAGAUGGAAGGGAAAGUGGAAUUCCUAGUGUAGCGGUGAAAUGCGCAGAUAUUAGGAAGAAUACCGGUGGCGAAGGCGACUUUCUGGUCAUCAUCUGACGCUGAGGUACGAAAGCGUGGGUAGCAAACAGG